CUCCCCAACCCUUAAGAAUGUUUUUUGUAAUUCUCCCCACCCUUGAGAAUGUACUUUGUGAGAUCCACCCCCUGCCUGCAAAACAUUGCUCCUAACUCCGCCGCCUAUCCCAAAACCUAUAAGAACUAAUGAUAAUUCCACCACCCUUUGCUGACUUUCUUUUUGGACUCAGCCCACCUUCACCCAGGUGAUUAAAAACUUUAUUGCUCACACAAAGCCUGUUUGGUGGUCUCUUCACUCAGAUGCACGUGACAUUUUGUGCCUAAGACCCGGGUCAGAGGGACUCCUUCAGGAGACCAGUCCCCUGUCCUCACUCUCACUCCAUGAAGAGAUCCACCUACGACCUCAGGUCCUCAGACCAACCAGCCCAAGGAACAUCUCACCAAUUUCAAAUCGGGUAAGCAGUCUUUUCACUCUCUUCUCUAGCCUCUCUCGCUACCCUUCAAUCUCCCUGUCCUUCCAAUUCCAGUUCUUUUUCCUCUCUAGUAGAGACAAAGGAGACAUCUUUUAUCCAUGGACCCAAAACUCUGGCACCGGUCACGGACUCGGGAAGAUAGUCUUCCCUUGGUGUUUAAUCACUGCAGGGACGCCUGCCUGAUUAUUCACCCACAUUCCACUGGUGUCUGAUCACCGCAGGGACGGCUGCCUUGGUCAUUCACCCACAUUCC
rnacentral:lncRNA from 1 species